UGGGGAAUUUUGGACAAUGGGCGAAAGCCUGAUCCAGCAAUGCCGCGUGUGUGAAGAAGGCCUUCGGGUUGUAAAGCACUUUUGUCCGGAAAGAAAUCCUCUGGGUUAAUACCUCGGGGGGAUGACGGUACCGGAAGAAUAAGCACCGGCUAACUACGUGCCAGCAGCCGCGGUAAUACGUAGGGUGCAAGCGUUAAUCGGAAUUACUGGGCGUAAAGCGUGCGCAGGCGGUUUUGUAAGACGGAUGUGAAAUCCCCGGGGCUUAACCUGGGAACUGCAUUCGUGACUGCAAGGCUAGAGUAUGGCAGAGGGGGGUUAGAAUUCCACGUGUAGCAGUGAAAUGCGUAGAGAUGUGGAGGAAUACCGAUGGCGAAGGCAGCCCCCUGGGCCAAUACUGACGCUCAUGCACGAAAGCGUGGGGGAGCAAACAGGAUUCAGAUACCCUGGUAGUCCACGCCCUAAACGAUGUCAACUAGUUGUUGGGGAUUCAUUUCCUUAGUAACGUAGCUAACGCGUGAAGUUGACCGCCUGGGG
rnacentral:rRNA from 1 species